ensembl:lncRNA
AUUGACUCCGCUCUCCAGCUGAUGUUUACACUGCUGUAUUCAUCUUGCUCCGAUGACUGUGACGUGCCACCCGGAUGCAGCGAGGCUGAAAGGGGAUGUGAGGCAGACCAGACAGAUGACAACGUCUUCGUCCUCCAGAGCCAGCGCGGGAUGAUCUGUCACCUGAUGAUGGGCUACAGCCUGUCAUUUAUUGACUUACAGCUUUAAUAUACUCGUGUCUCUUGCCGCUUCCAGCUGCAAGUUCAGAUCAGAAAAGAACAGGCUCUGCUGCUUCUCUGUACCGGGUCCUCGAAGCUAGAAAUACAAGCUACACUCGACCUGUCUCCUCUCCUGUGGUCUUUUUGCCAAAGAGAUUGAGCUAUGACCACGAACUCGGAUGAUCAAGGGGUCCUGUGGAGUCUAAGACUCCCCACCAGCAACCAGCUUUGCCUGUUUUGGGAGCUGAAAGUGUCCCCAGUGCCUGGUCUAAUCAAGUCUUUCUGGAGCUCUUAAUUCUGAGAAAACUGAUUUGAAUCAUCUUUCUAAGUUUGAGAUAUCCUGAGGUAGAUGGAAAGCAACCAGGAACACAGAAUGGUAAGUGAGAAAGAAUUUUCCAAGGUUCUUAGACCAAAAUUAUAGGUGGGAAUACCAGUGACAUUUGCUCAAGGCUUCGUUGAAUCCUUCUAAUCUAAUCUCUGUUCCCAUACAACCCCUUCAAUCACUGCACCUAUCAACACUCAAUUUUCUCUUUAUCUGAAUUCCUAUGGUUUUUACAUUCUAUCAUUUUUGCUGAUUCUUUAGACUUUUACUCUAGAAUUAUUCCUGGAAAUUUCAAAUCUUCAU